ACGCAUGCCUUUUUCACACAUAUUGAAGCGGUUUGAUGAUCAAGAAUGACUUCCAUUGUUUACUUUAUUUAUUUCCAGGGCGACAAUUGAUGGUUACAUCAAUGUUUUCUUGUUAAAAUAAUACACAUGAUGUAUGACUGGCAUGAGUUCUUUUUUUAAGAAAUAAAUAACAAAUAGAUAACUCUGAAUAUUUUCCUUGCCAGGUUAGAUAUGAUUUUGUACAUAUUUAAUUUUAUUUACAUUUGCAUAAACAAGAUUUUAAACAUUAAUCAAUUCCUUGCUACCAGCUUCAGAAUUAAUUCAUGGAAAUGCAAAACCCAUAUAUGUAAAUGGCAGAUGUCUUUAUUUCGUACUAGAUGUAAACACUGAAUGAAAUAACGAACAGUGAUAAUCUUAAAAAAUACAGAUACAAAUGUAAACAAAUUCGUGAACAAGCUGUAAUUUUAACGAUGUCACACACAAAUAAUUCUUUCUAAACCGUUUUUCCUUACAAUAUCGAAACAAGCCCAAAAGCAACCAUUUUUAUUCAAAAAAUAAAUUCAUGGAGCUCUACUGCGGAAGUACCAAUGUACAUGGUACAGCGUGCAGCUUUUUAAAAUUUGAUUAAUCAAUUUCAACUGCACAAUGUGUAAAUAUUUGAUAAAACACAUUUUUAUGCCUCUGUCAUGCAGUAUAUUUUAAUAAAAUCAUAAUCAUUCUA